rnacentral:lncRNA from 1 species
GGUGAUAAAACUACGGAGUCGUCCCCGACGUCGCGGAGUCGUCCCCAUGCAAAAAGCGCAAACAUCCCGAGACGUUCCCGUAAAGUACCGAGCCGACUCUCUCAGAAAAACAAAAAACAAGCAUUCAAGCUGCUCUUCUUCAGAGACGUCCCCGUAAAGCGCCGAGUCGACUCCAAACAACGUCAAAAGAAAUUUUAUACAGCCGAGACGUCUCGCGUUCAAGCGGAGACGUCUC